CCUGCAGAUCACACCUGAUCAACUAUCUGAUGUUUCAGAUGGACUGAGUCCAGGUUCAAUCACUGGUAUAAUAAUAGCAGCAGCAGUGAUUAUAGCUGCAGUGAUAUGUUACCUGCGGAGAGGUUUUCUGUGCAAAUCCAAAAGGCCCACAAGGUCUCAAGAGAUGAACACCAUCUCACCUGAAGAGGAAGAGUCACUCUCUGCCGCAGCAAAUACAAAUGGUCCAAAUGAAAACGAUCAGAGUGGAAAACCACUUCAGAGUGAAGAAGAAAGAGAGGAGACACAGAAAGAAGAGAUGUCAGCCACAUCAACCAUACUAAUGCCUCAGAAUCCAGGAGAGGACACUGACUCAGGGGAGGACAAAGAGGAAAGUUGACAAGCGUCUAAUGAAAACAGUCUAUUUGUAAAACUACUUCUGAAUGGGGGACAAAGAGGGGGAGAUACUUUGACGAACAACAAGGAGAAGAUCUAACAUAGCAGCAAUACUGUUGCAGUGACUCAAUAAUCAAGAAGAAGUUGACCUAGAGGUGAAAAUGGACCUUAUUCACAGUGGACAUUCAAACAUCUCGCAGCAGGCUAAUAUGCUUGUUCUAUGCUAAUCAACAGAAGAUUCACCUAGGCUGGAGUUACCAGUCAAAUAACACACUCUGAUUGGUUUCUUU